CCUUGAUGUUUUCGGAAUAACAUUUUGAACGCCUUUCUAUUUUCCCACAUGUACUGCAUGUCUUGCGAAUUUCUUUGUGUCUUUAUGUUGUUUUAAGGCAAAUUUUCACAAUUAGAGUUGUCUUUUAUUGUUUUCCCCUGAUUCCAUUAUUUCAUUUUAGUUGAUUAUCGUCUUAUAACUUGUAGUUUGUUCUUAAACUGGACGGUAUUUGUGAAACAUCAUAUAAACAGGUCGUAGGUCGCUGCAUUGGCUACAGCUGUUGAAAUGAAAGAGAGGGAUGUUGAAUUACCUCCCCUCUAGCGCUUGACGAAGUAUUACAACGCGUCCCAACCUGCAGUCAGUAAAGUCCCUUACGUUGUCUAUUUGUAGUGUUUUCUGCGGGUUUUUUCUUCGUUUGUUGUUAAUGUUUUAUAAGUAUUUGGUUUUGGUAUACUAAGGGGCAAGUGUUCAAGACGAGAAGUGCUACAAGUAGAAGCUGUCGACAACUGAGAACAUCUCGUCAAAUUUUAAAUACCGCGAACAGUAACACCACGACCGUUUUCCAUCUGAAAUGUAUUUGAUGUGUCAGAUUUCCAUCUUACAUCUGUCUGCAUGUCGAGGACCUGAUGAUUUUCAAAGUAAUCCUGCUGUGUUGACUCAUCGGAGGAUGCCAGCGUUUAGGAGGAACAUCCUGUCUCCAUCUUCGGGGCUGAAACCGACAAGUCUACACUUCGCCAAAACCCAGUAGAAGAUCAUCACCAAUUUUAAGCUGCAUUGGUUGGAGGAAUGACUUAAUGAACUGUGAAGGAAACAGUCUUGACUUCUUUAAACGUACCAUCUCAGCAUUUGUCAGAAAGCAAGUUUCAGGACACUUUUUCGGCAUUUGUCCGGAGACACUGGGAAAACCACAAUAUCUGGAUUGCCGAUAACGUGACUGAAAUUUAGACCAUAUGCUUUCUGAAUACAAAUCUACGGAGUUACCGCUACACCAGCCUGCCCGAAUGAGACUUAUCAAAUGGCACGAUGUGAUAGGCUUGCAGUUUACUUUUGGGCUAAGCUAAACUUUUACUUCGUCUACAUCUUUGAGCUCAUAAAUAGAUUUUCACAUUUUUGUUACAUUUGUAUUAGAAUGUGUUUUUAUCCACUUUAAUUAAUUUUAAGCAUAAUUUUACAUCACAACUUAAAUUAACUUUGCAUUCUUAUAAAAAAAGAAAUAGACUUGCAUAGAAAUUGUAUUAUUUCAAUAUACAGGGUGAGUCAGAAGUAUGUUUACAAACUUCUUGUGCGUGUUCCAGGAUCAAAAAUAAUAAAAAAUAUUCCU